CUCUAAGCAGGUGAGUAGUCCCAUUGAGUCAAUGGGAAUGGUCACAUGCCUACAAACCUUGCUGAACAGGGGACAUUGAAGGGCACUCUUGUGUGCUUCAUCGCCAGGGUGCAAUCCUUUGGUGCUCACCACAUCCUCAAAUGGUCACUGAUGAGAUGCACGGAUAAUGGGUUACAAAGACAGACAUUAAUAAGGCCAGUUGAUCCUUUACUUCUAUUGCCAUGGCAGCAACAGCACUGGAGGAGAGAGAACAAAAAUUAAUUCACCUGCACUACCCCCGGAGGUACUUGAAACCACAGGACAUCAUUUUCUUCAGGGAUUUUAGUGCAUCUUCUAAUCUACUGGUUAACAGAUAAAGCUAAAUACAUAUUGAAAAAGUUCCUAAAUUAUAAAGACGACAACCCCUUUGUGAUCUUGACAAUAGAGAAUUCAACCAGUGGGGAAGCCAUCCUGGAUCUUCUACUUACCCAUAAGGAGGCAUUGAUUAAGAACACAGUAAUAUUUGCACUUCUGUAGUGCUUUCCA